rnacentral:rRNA from 1 species
GAUGAACGCUGGCGGCGUGCCUAAUACAUGCAAGUCGAGCGAACGGACGAGAAGCUUGCUUCUCUGAUGUUAGCGGCGGACGGGUGAGUAACACGUGGAUAACCUACCUAUAAGACUGGGAUAACUUCGGGAAACCGUAGCUAAUACCGGAUAAUAUUUUGAACCGCAUGGUUCAAAAGUGAAAGACGGUCUUGCUGUCACUUAUAGAUGGAUCCGCGCUGCAUUAGCUAGUUGGUAAGGUAACGGCCUACCAAGGCAACGAAGCAUAGCCGACGUGAGAGGGUGAUAGGCCACACUGGAACUUAGACACGGUCCAGACUCCUAAGGGAGGCAGCAGUAGGGAAUCUUACGCAAUGGGGGAAAGCCUUACGGAGCAGCGCCGCGUGAGUGAUGAAGGUCUUCGGAUCGUAAAACUCUGUUAUUAGGGAAGAACAUAUGUGUACGUAACUGUGCACAUCUUGACGGUACCUAAUCAGAAAGCCACGGCUAACUACGUG